rnacentral:rRNA from 1 species
UACAGAGGUCCCGAGCGUUGUUCGGAUUCACUGGACGUAAAGGGUGCGUAGGCGGUUCUCCAAGUCCGUUGUGAAAGCCCCGGGCUCAACCUGGGAAUGGCAGUGGAAACUAGGGGACUGGAAUCUGGCAGAGGGGGGUGGAAUGCCGCGUGUAGCAGUGAAAUGCGUAGAGAUGCGGCGGAACACCGAUGGCGAAGGCAGCCCCUGGGCUGAGAUUGACGCUCAGGCACGAAAGCGUGGGGAGCAAACAGG